GCCUUAGAGUAUCACCCAAAUGCUUCUUGAACUCUGUCAGGCUUGGUGCUGUGACUACUCCCCUGGGGAACCUGUUCCAGUGCCCAAGCACCCUCUGGGUGAAGAACCUUUUUCUAAUAUCCAACCUAAACCUCUCCUGACAAAACUUCAGGCCAUUCCCUCAGUCCUGUCACCAGUUACCACAGAGAAGAGAUCAGUGUCUGCCCCUCCUCUUCCCCUCACAAGGAAGUUGUGACUGCAGUGAGGUCUCCCCUCAGUCUCCUCUUCUCCAGGGUCAACACACCAAGUGACCUCAGCUGCUCCUCAUAUGGCUUCCCCUCAAGGCCCUUCACCAUCUUUGUUCCCCUCCUUUGGACACUCUCUAAGAGUUUAAUAUCUUUCUUAUAUUGCAGUGCCCCAAACAGCACACAAUAUUCAAGGUGAGGCCACCCCAGUGCAGAGCAGAGCAGGACAAUCCCCUCACUCGACCAUCUGGUGAUGCUUUGCCUGAUGCCCCCCAGGACACAGUUGGCCCUCCUGGCUGCCAGGGCACUGCUGACUCAUUCAACUUGCCAUCGACCAGGACCCCCAGGUCCCUUUCUGUGGCACUGCUUUCCAGCAUCUCAUUCCCCAGUCUUUAUUUACAUCCAGGGUUGCCCCAUCCCAGGUACAGAAUCCGUCACUUUCUCGUGUUGAACUUAAUAUGGUUGGUGAUUGCCCAGUGCUCUUGUCAAGGUCUCUCUGCAAGGCCUCCCUGCCAUCAAGGGAGUCAACAGCUGCUCCCAAUUUAGUGUCACUGGCGAACUUAAUUAGUAUUACUUCAAGUCCUGCAGCCAAGUUGUUAAUGAAUAUAGUGAAGAGCACAGGGCCUAAGAUGGAGCCCUGUAGAACCCCACUCGUGACAGGUCACCAGUCUGAUGUCACCCUAUUCACUAUGACCCUCUGUGUUCCACCCAUGAUCCAAUUGCUCACAUACCACAUCCUGUCCGUAUCCAGCUGUGUGCUGGACAUUUUGUCCAGAAGGAUCCUGUGAGAGACAGUAUCAAAAGCUUUACUGAAAUCCAAAAAGAUUACAUCAACUGGCUUCUCUUGAUCAGCUGUGUGGGUUACCUUGUCCUAGAAGGAAAUCAGGUUGGAUAAGCAGGACUCUCCUCUCCUGAAGCUAUGCUGGCUCUGACCAAUGCCUGCAUUGUCCUUCAGAGACCAAUGGUGUCUCCCCACACAUAAGCUGCUGCUGGUGUCUAUUUGGAGUAGUUUCACUGAAGUUUUACACAGCGUUACAGAGAUAAUGGGUCCCCAUGCUGCUGCUUCAGUUGAGAUGGAUGCAGAGAUGAAGCUCCUGAUUGUGUCAUACUCUGUCCAUGCAGCUGCUUGGGCUUUUACUGCCUGAAUUUACUGACUGUUUACAAACCAGAACUAACCUAAAUUCACAAAAUCUGACUGACUGACUUGGAAGGUCAAAUCACCUUCCAAGAUGCCUGAGUGUCCUUGAACUGUGUCUCUUGAAAGAUACAAAUAUAAUUUAUGAGAGUUGAGACCGACUAGGCAGUCAAACUU